UGCUGGUGUUUUCUAGACCUGUUUCACACCUGCCGUAUCUGUAUCUCCUCUACUUAGAAACAAUAACUUUGUAUUAAAUGAAGCAAGCUCCAAAGCCUCUCUGCACACUUCCCAAAUCUUGUAUUUCUGGCCCUGUAUUGCUGGCCCAACAUUUAAAAAUCUGCUCUGAUGGCUUGCGUGAGUGUGUUGUAAACCUUGUCAAUAUUUGUGUGUGUUUUCUACACUGAGAGAAUGGGAGAGCCAAAUAGUGUCACAGCUGUGUCUUGGGCACUGUUAAACACAUGUGGAAUUUUCUCUAUGGGCCUCACAUGUAUGCCGACUAAAGUUUUACCCAUCCUCUGAGGAUAUGACAAUUCACAUACACUAAGUAAGCUAGGACUGUUUUACUUUGUCAUUUAAAUCUGAGAAGACACACAGCUUUUUCCAUUAGCACCUAAUUUUUUCUCUCUCAUCUGUGUGGAUCAUAAGCUCUGCAGAUCUUACUACUAUAGAUGUAAUCAUCCCAACAGGACUUCUUGCAUAUUUAUUUUUAUUCUAUGUAUAGGAGCAUUUUGCCUACACAUAUGUAAGUAAGUGCACCGUGUAUGUCCCUGAUGUUAGCAGACACCAGAAGAGGUCAUCAGAUCCCCUGCAAUGGGGCUUAGAGAUGGUUGUGAGCCACCAUGUGGGUGGUGGGAACCAAACACAGGGUCCUCUGGGAGAACAGCACUCAGUUCUGGAAGAACGCUGAGCCAUUGCUUUGGCCUCAGGAACUUAUUUUCAGGAACCAAAGUAAAGGUAAAAGAAAUGGUCUACCAGCUCAGCGAUGCACACACAUGGGCAAGGAGAGCCCCUGGCUCAGGUGUAGGGCUCACUCUUUACUGCAGAAUAUGUGAACCUUAGGAUAACAUCUUGGGGAGUGUGUAGUAGGAAUGGGGGCUGCCUGCUUGUGGUCCCUGGGGACUGGGGAGCACCGCAUGAGUAAUUGUGGGGCAUUUUGGUUUCACUUAUUCUAAAGGUUUAUCUCCAAGUCUGGGACAGUCGCCGAUUACCUCAAGUUUCGUAAAUCUUUCCAGGGUAAAAUGAGUUGAGCCAAGAACCACUUAGUGAGAAAGGGGCAGCAGAAUCAUACACGUGACUCGGGUGGAAAAGCCCCUUGUGAGGUAUUCAUCGGAAUCUUGUUUUUGUGUAUAACUGGUUACAAUAAAAUCAAACCCUGUCUCUUUUCCUCUGCAUGCCCUGCUGUUUCCCCUUGUCUUUUCCACCUUGGGAUGCGCUGUCUUGCUCCUCUCUGUUCUGAAUUUCUUCCCGAAUCACAGCUUCGUCCCCAGUCCUAGAGGCCAUUCUCUGAAGAGAUCGGGUUUCUGUGAUGGCAAAGGAAGCACCCUGGCAGAAGACUCUCUGGCCACCCACAAUAGAGGGCAGUCACUAAGCAGGGUGUGGAGGGUCUCAUGGCUGGCUUCUCACUGAGGCAAGUACAUCACUGCUUGACUUCUCCUGGGGAACCCUGGCCUGAGUCUCCAGGCCCUGCCUGAGCUCACGUGUAGAGAACCCUCAUGCUCCAGGUGCCCAGAAAGUGCUGUGUUUUACAAGACCCUCAUCUCAAAUGACAGAAGAUGUCGUUGCUCCUCAGAAGCAGAUUUUAUCAGACUCUUUAUAUAGAACUAAAGGGCUGUUUGUUCCCUACAGGUUUGGAGGACUAUCUGUUCUAAAGGAACAACCUAAAGCCACUAAGUGGAUGCCAGGAGUCUCUCUGCUAACUUUAGGAGAAGAAUCCGAACAUCAGCUCCAUUCUCUGAACGUCCUGGACGGAGGCGGGCUGUGCGAGUCUUCAGGACAUCCUGGGGACAGGGGAGCUGCCCCGAAAGCUCUGCAGACCGUCGGGUGGUUGUCUGGAGAAGCUCUGCAGUGCCCAGCUGCUGCUCUGACCGCGUUAGCACUGGCCUCUCAUGUGAUGGGCCACCGUGCCUUCUUUAUCAUUAGAUCCCCUUCAGAGGCAGAGCUGGGCACAAUCUUGUUAAUCUGAGCAGAUUAGUGAGGAAGCUACCCAUUUAUUGGAAUCCCUUAAUUUGGCUUAAAAUUCGUCCCAUGAAAUCAAGAAGAAACCCUGCAUUUAAAGAGUUAAAUCUCUCAAAUCCCUCAUUGUUCUCACAGGAGAGAUCGAUAAUUCUACAUUGAACAAAUGAACUUAAUUCCUCCUCAAAAGGCUUCUCCUGAAAUCCUUCCCUUAUCCCGAAAGCGAGAUAAAAAUUACCAAAGACAUGUGGGGAAUUCACAAUGUGAAAUCCUCCUUAAAGAGAAUUUCUGUUGGCAAGGAGAGAGUCACUGAGAGAAAGAAGAUGGGAAGAAAAAGACUGAAACCUCAAACAUCAGCGUUGGACAGGCAGCACUCGUGUGUGUGUGUGUGUGUGUGUGUGUGUGUCUUCACUCAAAACAAGGUGCCACGGACUUCAGACAUCACAAGGAGAGAAACAGGAGGACCCGCUAACCGAGCACUGAGCACCCUUCAUCAGCAUCUCUCUCUUGAUACAACUGCAAAUGAGUUAGGCUUGUAAUUAGGAAGCAGAGCAGAUGGUGGAGAGUUAGUUUAAAGUGUUCAUUAAAACAACCUGCACUGCCAAGUUACUGUUCGUUGAUCGAGGGCUGCUGCUCAGUUGAAAUGUGUUUGCAGAGAGGAGAGGAAGGGAAAGAUCACCGCAGUGGGGAAUCCCGUGUAACUGUUUCUCCAUUGCAGGCUAGUUCCCCGAUGUGUGCAAGCGGAGCCUCCAAGUCCACAGUCAGAAGCAGGUACAGGACAUCAAAAAACUGAAGCAAAUCCUAAGUCACAUAACCAAAAUCUUUUACAUAAGACAUGCAGUUCCUCAGCACAACUAGACGAGGCAGCCUCUUGGGGGAGCCCCUGGUUUUCCCUCUUUUGUACGAUGAAGGCUUUUGUGUGGUCUUUCCCCCAAAGACUGAGUGGGCUGAACUUAAUGCCUGCCUUCUAAAGAACCCAAUGCAAUUUGCAUAACGAACUGCAGACAGGAGUGAGGGGAAGAUGCCUCUGGGAGAAGGCUACAAAAUGCUGGCUCCCAUUUUGAAUGUUUUCUCACUCUCUGGCUGGCAGAAGCCAGCUGCCAGGUUGUGAGCUAUCUCCUGCAGAGGCCCAGGUGGAAGGGCCUGAUGUCCUGGCAGCAACCAGUGAGGAUUAGGAGUCACCAAGAGUCACAUGACUGAGAUUGAAAGAAGAGCUGCCUCUAAUUAGCAUUGACUGCCUCCUUUUAAAAGACCUUGAGGCCUGAGGUACCUACCAAGUGUAUCUAGACCCUUGGCCACUGAAAAUAAACAAUAAUAAGAAUGUAGCUAGUGGACAAUUUGCUAUGCAGAGCUCAGAAACCUACGGCUCAAGUCCAAUACUCAGCCGGCAAGUCGCUUUCUUACUCUUUUUUUACCCCUUCCCAUUUUAUAUAAUUAUGGUUGAACAGUUGGUUCCUGGAAUUUCAAUGAAAACAUAGGGUGAAAGACCUUGUCAACUUUUUCAUUGGUGAAAUAGCCGGCGAACUUUCAAUAUAAUUGAAAUAUGUCAAAUUUAUCCGGAAAGUAAACAGGCUGGGUGGGCAGUUUUGGCAGUCCUUGCCUGAAAUUACGUGUUACCACACGUACAGGACUUCAAGUGGAGAGACGCACACAUGUGUUUGUGCCAUAUUAUCUCUGUGCAUACAUGCCUGAGUGUGUGCAUCACAUGUAACCCCACAUACAAGACCAGAAGUGACGUGUGGGACAAUGUGGUGAGAGUCUCCCUGACUUGUCUGGUGGAAUUUGAGAGAACAGCUUCACUAGAGAGCCUCUCAUAAAGUCAUGCAAUAUCAUUUUCAAUGUUUUUGAGAUUAAAAUAUAAUUACAGCA